AACGCACAUUGCGCCCUCUGGUAUUCCGGAGGGCAUGCCUGUCCGAGCGUCAUUGCUGUUCCUCAAGCCCGGCUUGUGUGUUGGGCCUGCCGUCCUAUGGACGGUGACCCGAAAAGCAGUGGCGGCGUCGCGUCCGGUCCUUAAGCGUAUGGGGCUUUGUCACCCGCUUUGGAUGGCCGGCCGACUCCGUAGCCCAUCGUGGUUUACCACAUUCUUUGAUGGACCUCGGAUCAGGUAGGGAUACCCGCUGAACUUAA
rnacentral:misc_RNA from 2 species